UACGUAGGGUGCAAGCGUUGUCCGGAAUUAUUGGGCGUAAAGAGCUCGUAGGCGGUUUGUCGCGUCUGCUGUGAAAACCUAAGGCUCAACCUUGGGCUUGCAGUGGGUACGGGCAGACUAGAGUGCGGUAGGGGUGACUGGAAUUCCUGGUGUAGCGGUGGAAUGCGCAGAUAUCAGGAGGAACACCGAUGGCGAAGGCAGGUCACUGGGCCGCAACUGACGC
rnacentral:rRNA from 1 species